rnacentral:lncRNA from 1 species
GUGUGUUAUAGAAGGGUUCUUUCAUCAGAUGCUGAGACUGUCAUACCCAGAGCAUGCAUGUGUCCCUAGAGUUCAGCACCCCUCUUAUACUUAUCGAUGUACUCAGCCACAGAUAGACAGGCCCAAGCACUACAAAGAACCAAGAAAAGAGAGCUAUCUAAGGAGAGCCUCAAAGGAGGCCCACAACUGCACAAGCCUCCAGAGCUCCCAGAUUAUACCCCCCACAUUUCAGUACACAGCUGGUGAUCAUCACAGAGAAACCAUAAAGAGGCCACUGCUCAGAGCCUCUGCGUUGUUAUGUGUUGUGCUUUCUUGAGCUUAUACCUUCUGAACUACACAAGGGUUAGAGCUGGAUAUAGCCAUGAAAAUCAUACAGCAGGUCUUUGUGUGACAAGGUAGUUCCAAGCUGGUGCUGUAGGUACAGCUCCGGGCACCUGUGCGUGUCUGCAGUAAGUGAAGAAGGAUGAAAACCGUGCCACUGAGUCAUUUCUCAUUCUGCACGUUGAAAGCAGUAUGAAGUAGCUAGCAGGACAGGGAAGAACAU